UCUGAUUAGCUAGUUGGUGAGGUAAAGGCUCACCCAAGGCGACGAUCAGUAGCUGGUCUGAGAGGACGAUCAGCCACACUGGGACUGAGACACGGGCCCAGACUCGUACGGGAGGCAGCAGUGGGGAAUUUUGGACAAUGGGCGAAAGCCUGAUCCAGCAAUGCCGCGUGUGUGAAGAAGGCCUUCGGGUUGUAAAGCACUUUUGUCCGGAAAGAAAUGGCUCUGGUUAAUACCUGGGGUCGAUGACGGUACCGGAAGAAUAAGGACCGGCUAACUACGUGCCAGCAGCCGCGGUAAUACGUAGGGUCCAAGCGUUAAUCGGAAUUACUGGGCGUAAAGCGUGCGCAGGCGGUUGUGCAAGACCGAUGUGAAAUCCCCGAGCUUAACUUGGGAAUUGCAUUGGUGACUGCACGGCUAGAGUGUGUCAGAGGGGGGUAGAAUUCCACGUGUAGCAGUGAAAUGCGUAGAGAUGUGGAGGAAUACCGAUGGCGAAGGCAGCCCCCUGGGAUAACACUGACGCUCAUGCACGAAAGCGUGGGGAGCAAACAGGAUUAGAUACCCUGGUAGUCCACGCCCUAAACGAUGUCAACUAGUUGUUGGGGAUUCAUUUCCUUAGUAACGUAGCUAACGCGUGAAGUUGACCGCCUGGGGAGUACGGUCGCAAGAUUAAAACUCAAAGGAAUUGACGGGGACCCGCACAAGCGGUGGAUGAUGUGGAUUAAUUCGAUGCAACGCGAAAAACCUUACCUACCCUUGACAUGCCACUAACGAAGC
rnacentral:rRNA from 1 species